GUAUAAGAGGUCCUACCUGCCCAGUGACAUUAAGUUAAACGGCCGCGGUAUUUUGACCGUGCUAAGGUAGCGCAAUCACUUGUCUUUUAAAUGAAGACCUGUAUGAAUGGUGGAACGAGGGCUUAACUGUCUCCCUUUUCAGGUCAGUGAAAUUGAUCUGCCCGUGCAGAAGCGGACAUAAUAAUACAAGACGAGAAGACCCUUUGGAGCUUAAGACACAAGGUCAACUAUGUCAAAACCCCCUAUAAAGAGGGACUAAACAAAAUAUUAACUGACCAGAGUCUUCGGUUGGGGCGACCACGGGGGAAAACAAAGCCCCCAUGUGGAAUGGGAUAAAACCUAAAACCACGAGGAACACCUCUAAGUCACAGAACAUCUGACCAAAAGAUCCGGCACUAGGCCGAUCAACGAACCAAGUUACCCUAGGGAUAACAGCGCAAUCCCCUCCAAGAGUCCAUAUCGACAAGGGGGUUUACGACCUCGAUGUUGGAUCAGGACAUCCUAAUGGUGCAGCCGCUAUUAAGGGUUCGUUUGUUCAACGAUUAAAGUCCUACGUGAUCUG
rnacentral:rRNA from 1 species